rnacentral:rRNA from 1 species
AGAGUUUGAUCCUGGCUCAGGAUGAACGCUAGCAAAAUGCCUAACACAUGCAAGUCGAACGAAUCUUGCGUCGUAGCAAUACGUAGUAAGAUUAGUGGCAAACGAGCGAGUAACGCGUGCUUAACCUACCCCAAAGAUGGGUAUAACUGCAGAGAUGUAGCUAAUCCCCAAUAUGCUCACGAUGGUGAAAUUCCAAUGUGAGGAAAGAUUUAUCGCUUUGGGAGGGGGGUGCGUCCUAUCAGGUAGUUGGUAAGGUAAUGGCUUACCAAGCCUAUGACGGGUAACCGGUCUGAGAUGAUGAACGGUCGCGAUGGGACUGAGAUACGGCCCAUACUCCUACGGGAGGCAGCAGUGGGGAAUCUUGCACAAUGGACGAAAGUCUGAUGCAGCAAUUUUGCGUGGAGGAUGAAACAUCACGGUGUGUAAACUCCUUUUUUGGUAGAAGACGAAUGACGGUAUGCCAAGAAUAAGAGACGGCUAACUACGUGCCAGCAGCCGCGGUAAUACGUGGGUGGCGAGCGUUAUUCGGAUUUACUGGGCGUAAAGGGUCCGCAGGGGGCCUGCCACGCCCGCCGUGAAAUUUCAGGGCUCAACCCUGAACGUGCGGCGGGUACGGGCGGGCUGGAGUGCAGGAUGGGCAGACGGAAUUCCAGGUGUAGCGGUGGAAUGCGUAGAUAUCUGGAAGAACACCGAUGGCGAAGGCGGUCUGCUGGCCUGCAACUGACCCUCAGGGACGAGAGCGUGGGGAUCAAACAGGAUUAGAUACCCUGGUAGUCCACGCCGUAAACGUUGUGUGCCAGAUGUGGGCAGGUUCGGCCCUGUCCGUGUCCAAGCUAACGCGAUUAGCACACCGCCUGGGGACUACGGCCGCAAGGCUAAAACUCAAAGGAAUUGACGGGGGCCCGCACAAGCGGUGGAGCAUGUUGCUUAAUUCGAUGCAACGCGAAGAACCUUACCAGGUCUUGACAGUGUAAAGAAUACUUAAGAGAU